GCCUGGCUGGCUCAGUUGGUAGAGCAUCUGACUCUUGAUCUCAGGGUGGUGAGUUCAAGCCCCACGUUGGGCA
rnacentral:tRNA from 1 species